rnacentral:rRNA from 1 species
CACGUAGGGUGCGAGCGUUGUCCGGAAUUAUUGGGCGUAAAGAGCUCGUAGGCGGUUUGUCGCGUCUGCUGUGAAAAUCCAGGGCUUAACCCUGGACCUGCAGUGGGUACGGGCAGACUAGAGUGCGGUAGGGGAGAUCGGAAUUCCUGGUGUAGCGGUGAAAUGCGCAGAUAUCAGGAGGAACACCGGUGGCGAAGGCGGAUCUCUGGGCCGUAACUGACGCUGAGGAGCGAAAGCAUGGGGAGCGAACAGG